GGAGGGCGCUAGCGUUGUUCGGAAUCGUUGGGCGUAAAGCGCGUGUAGGCGGCUUGGCAAGUCGGGUGUGAAAGCCCGGGGCUCAACCCCGGAACUGCACUCGAAACUGCCUCGCUUGAGUCCCGGAGAGGAGGGCGGAAUUCCCGGUGUAGAGGUGAAAUUCGUAGAUAUCGGGAGGGACACCAGUGGCGAAGGCGGCCCUCUGGACGGUGACUGACGCUGAGACGCGAAAGCGUGGGGAGCAAACAGGAUUAGAUACCCUGGUAGUCCACGCCGUAAACGUUGGGUGCUAGGUGUCGCGGGUAUUGACCCCCCUGCGGUGCCGUCGUUAACGCAUUUAGCACCCCGCCUGGGGAGUACGGUCGCAAGGCUA
rnacentral:rRNA from 1 species